AGUGAACGCUGGCGGUAGGCCUAACACAUGCAAGUCGAACGGCAGCACAGUAAGAGCUUGCUCUUACGGGUGGCGAGUGGCGGACGGGUGAGGAAUACAUCGGAAUCUACUUUUUCGUGGGGGAUAACGUAGGGAAACUUACGCUAAUACCGCAUACGACCUACGGGGGAAAGAAGGGGAUCUUCGGACCUUGCGCGAUUGAAUGAGCCGAUGUCGGAUUAGCUAGUUGGCGGGGUAAAGGCCCACCAAGGCGACGAUCCGUAGCUGGUCUGAGAGGAUGAUCAGCCACACUGGAACUGAGACACGGUCCAGACUCCUGCGGGAGGCAGCAGUGGGGAAUAUUGGACAAUGGGCGCAAGCCUGAUCCAGCCAUACCGCGUGGGUGAAGAAGGCCUUCGGGUUGUAAAGCCCUUUUGUUGGGAAAGAAAAGCAGCAGGUUAAUACCCCGCUGUUCUGACGGUACCCAAAGAAUAAGCACCGGCUAACUUCGUG
rnacentral:rRNA from 1 species